UUAACGAAUCAAAAACAAAAUUGCUAUUGGCAGUGCACAAAUCAGGUUUAUCAAGUGCUGAUGACAUUAUUGAUGGGAUGACAAAAAGAAAAAGUAAAUGUCCUUAUAGAGGUCAACGAUUUUCUCCCACUACAAUUAUCAAAUCAAAAAAAACUGAGUCAGCAAUUCAAAACAAAUAAAAAUAUCUUCUGGUAGCUGUCCCCUCAUUAUCACAACGCUUUUCAAACAGUUAAUUCAAAUAAAGAAACAAAUAUUUUUAAACCAUCUUAUGAUUCAGACAAAGAUUUUCUAUAGAAAAUUGAUAAAAGUCAAAAGAACUGUUAUUGAUGGUAUUAAUUGUAUAACACCUGAAAAACAUGCCUCUUUAUUAGUUGAACAUAUUGACAAUACAUAACAUAAUUUUAUCUUCUGUUGGAACGUGGACAAUUCAAAAAGACAAGGAUAUUCAAUUAUUAUACUAAAUAAGUUCUGAUUGCAAUGGCAUUAAAGUUAAAAAAGUAUUAUAUUGUGAUCAAAAUAUUGAAAACUCAGGAUCUGGUACUACAGCUGAUAUUUUAAAACUGCCUCAAGAUAAUAAUAUAUUACAAAAACAGUCAAAUAUAUCUGAUGGUAUGUGUAUUAUUUAGUAAU